rnacentral:rRNA from 1 species
CGCUGGCGCGAGGCCUAACACAUGCAAGAGCUGCGGAAACGAGUUUACUGAACCUUCGGGAGACGAUAACGGCGUCGAGCGGCGGACGGGUGAGUAAUGCCUAGGAAAUUGCCCUGAUGUGGGGGAUAACCAUUGGAAACGAUGGCUAAUACCGCAUGAUGCCUACGGGCCAAAGAGGGGGACCUUCGGGCUCCUCGCGUCAGGAUAUGCCUAGGUGGGAUUAGCUAGUUGGUGAGGUAAGGGCUCACCAAGGCGACGAUCCCUAGCUGGUCUGAGAGGAUGAUCAGCCACACUGGAACUGAGACACGGUCCAGACUCCUACGGAGGGCAGCAGUGGGGAAUAUUGCACAAUGGGCGCAAGCCUGAUGCAGCCAUGCCGCGUGUAUGAAAGAGGCCUUCGGGUUGUAAAGUACUUUCAGUCGUGAGGAAGGCGGCGUCGUUAAAUGCGGCAUCGUUUGACGUUAGCGACAGAAGAAGCACCGGCUAACUCCGUGCCAGCAGCCCGGGUAAGCAUGAGGGUGCGAGCGUUAAUCG